rnacentral:rRNA from 1 species
UACGUAGGGGGCAAGCGUUGUCCGGAAUCAUUGGGCGUAAAGCGCGUGUAGGCGGUUCAGUAAGUCUGCUGUGAAAGUCCAGGGCUCAACCCUGGGAUGCCGGUGGAUACUGCCGAACUAGAGUACGGAAGAGGCGAGUGGAAUUCCCGGUGUAGCGGUGAAAUGCGCAGAUAUCGGGAGGAACACCAAUUGCGAAGGCAGCUCGCUGGGACGUCACUGACGCUGAGACGCGAAAGCGUGGGGAGCAAACAGG